CACGUAGGGCGCGAGCGUUGUCCGGAAUUAUUGGGCGUAAAGAGCUCGUAGGCGGCCUGUUGCGUCCGCUGUGAAAGCCCGGGGCUUAACCCCGGGUCUGCAGUGGAUACGGGCAGGCUAGAGGUAGGUAGGGGAGAAUGGAAUUCCCGGUGUAGUGGUGGAAAUGCGCAGAUAUCGGGAGGAACACCGGUGGCGAAGGCGGUUCUCUGGGCCUUACCUGACGCUGAGGAGCGAAAGCGUGGGGAGCGAACAGG
rnacentral:rRNA from 1 species